GGUCAAUAGUAGCCUAAUGCUAUGUCACUCGGCUCAUCAUGUAGACAUUUUAUCAUCCCACAUCAUUGCAAGAAUAAGGGUUUGCCUUUGGGGACAAUGAUUAUCCUGGUUAGCUCAUGUGAAAGAAUAGACUUCUCUUUCAUGGAAUCUGGAGAGAGGCCCCCUUUCUAUCCAGGCAGAGUAUGAGAGCCAUCGUGUCCAAAUUCUCAGUUCUGUUCGUUAAGCAUGGAACCACCCAGC